UUCUCUUGUUCUAGAUUGAUUAUUUACAUAUUUGUUGUUAGGGUUUUCUUUUUGGGACGGUAACACCAUGUGACAUGUUAACACGAAGACGCACUCAUUUCUGUAUGCUCUACUUUUUCUGCCCAUAGAAAGGGCUAUGGUACUCGGUGAGUUGAUGAUCAACAGCACACUACAACAAAGGGUUUGUUGUAUUUGAUCUGC
rnacentral:lncRNA from 1 species